CAAAUUUCUGCCCUACCAACUUUCGAUGGUAGGAUAGUGGCCUACCAUGGUUUCAACGGGUAACGGGGAAUUAGGGUUCUAUUCCGGAGAGGGAGCCUGAGAAACGGCUACCACAUCCAAGGAAGGCAGCAGGCGCGCAAAUUACCCAAUCCCGAUACGGGGAGGUAGUGACAAUAAAUACUGAUACAGGGCUCUUUUGGGUCUUGUAAUUGGAAUGAGUACAAUUUAAAUCCCUUAACGAGGAACAAUUGGAGGGCAAGUCUGGUGCCAGCAGCCGCGGUAAUUCCAGCUCCAAUAGCGUAUAUUAAAGUUGUUGCAGUUAAAAAGCUCGUAGUUGAACCUUGGGCCUGGCUGGCCGGUCCGCCUCACCGCGUGCACUGGUCGGCCGGCCGGGUCUUUCCUCCUGGGGAGCCGCAUGCCCUUCAUUGGGUGUGUCGGGGAACCAGGACUUUUACUUUGAAAAAAUUAGAGUGUUCAAAGCAGGCCUAUGCUCGAAUACAUUAGCAUGGAAUAAUAGAAUAGGACGUGUGGUUC
rnacentral:rRNA from 1 species